rnacentral:rRNA from 1 species
CACGUAGGGGGCAAGCGUUGUCCGGAAUUAUUGGGCGUAAAGAGCGUGUAGGCGGUCCGGUAAGUCGGCUGUGAAAGUCCAGGGCUCAACCCUGGGAUGCCGGUCGAUACUGCCGGACUAGAGUUCGGAAGAGGCGAGUGGAAUUCCCGGUGUAGCGGUGAAAUGCGUAGAUAUCUGGAGGAACACCGGUGGCGAAGGCGGCAUCCUGGACCGACACUGACGCUGAGGAGCGAAAGCCAGGGGAGCAAACGGG